rnacentral:lncRNA from 1 species
UCUGUUUUGAGCACAUUUGAAAUAUCCAAAUAUUGAAUGAACGGUGAAUUACGCAUACCAGAGAAUGGUAAAGCACGGAUAAUAUUUUUACACUGAAUAUAGCUGUUUAUCCUAGCUGUAUCGCGCUCUUUCUGUUUUCUGGAUUUCACACUAACUGAUUUACUUUUGCUGUCCUUUAUAACUUUAGAAAAACACUUACUAGAAUAAUGUCCGAAUUUUCCGCACGAAUAACAUCUCUGAUUGAAAGAGUUACAAAUAUAAUGUUUGUGAAAUUUGCCACACCUCCCACAUGCUGGACUAUAACCUGACUGGAUGUUCCAUGGUCUCCAUUGUGGUCGGAAGCUG